rnacentral:tRNA from 1 species
AUUUAUAUAAUAUAAAAAGUAUAUUUAACUUCCAAUUAAAAAGACUGAUUAAUAUAUCAGUAUAAAUA